UCCAAUGUGUAACCAUACACACUAGUGCACUCACCAUGGGAAACCCAUCCUGAUAACCAAGACCAGCCAUCUCUCCAAUUAGGAGGUGGUGCACUACAACCUCUAAUGGGUUGCCUAGACCCAUUAACCGGUUGUGAACAAGUUAUCUGAUUGCAAGGAACCCAUGACUUAGAUCUUCUACGCAACUCCUAAUGCACCUAAAUCACGUACAAUGUAAAAGAUGUAGGUAAUAAUGCUCAUAAAGUAUAAUACAUGGAAUAAGGAUAAAUAAAAGUGAAACUUGAACAUCAUUAAAUAAAUAAUGAAUUCCAAAUUUAUACAUCAUGUCAUUUUUUUAAAGGCUUUAUCCUAACAAUCUUCUA
rnacentral:lncRNA from 1 species